ensembl:lncRNA
AGAGGAACAAAAACCAGUUGUGUGUGUUAGUGUGUUUAUAAAAAAGAAAAGACCGUGAAAAGGGAACGGGGGAGUGCGCUUUACUGCCACUCUUUGUCCGCGUCUCCACAUCCGCGUGCAUCCAGGGGAUUUCUGUGGAUCUGCGUGUGGAUCUGCGGUCGUGUUUGGUUCGGUCCGAUUCUGGUGCGUAAUGUGGGACCCGAAACGGGACGCGUCGGUAGCGGUCGCUCUGCGGGGUCCCUUCGCGUCGAAAAUUGGAGAUUUAUAGAAUUGGUCAAGCACCCAAAACGGGGGGAGAGGGAGAAAGAGACAGAAAGAGAGAAAAUCCGUUUGGCUCUCUGGCGCGGAGGCCCCUGGACCCGUGACGAGGUAGACCCGGGUCAGUGACGAGGUGGACCCGGGUCCGCUGAGGCCCUUGGACCCGUGACGAGGUAGACCCGGACCCGUGACCAGGCUGUCUCUGGUCCAGGCUGUUUCCACUCGGCCUCAAGCUGUCUUGUGAGCUGCGUGUCUCCAGUCUUCUGCGGUGGUUUCCCUUCCGCUUCAUGGUCACUGCG